UCGGUGAUCAAAUCAAGUCCA
rnacentral:piRNA from 1 species